rnacentral:rRNA from 1 species
AGAGUUUGAUCAUGGCUCAGAACGAACGCUGGCGGCAGGCUUAACACAUGCAAGUCGAACGCCCCGCAAGGGGAGUGGCAGACGGGUGAGUAACGCGUGGGAAUCUACCCAGAACUACGGAACAACUGAGGGAAACUUCAGCUAAUACCGUAUACGCCCUACGGGGGAAAGAUUUAUCGGUUUUGGAUGAGCCCGCGUUAGAUUAGCUAGUUGGUGGGGUAAUGGCCUACCAAGGCGACGAUCUAUAGCUGGUCUGAGAGGAUGAUCAGCCACACUGGGACUGAGACACGGCCCAGACUCCUACGGGAGGCAGCAGUGGGGAAUAUUGGACAAUGGGCGCAAGCCUGAUCCAGCCAUGCCGCGUGAGUGAUGAAGGCCUUAGGGUUGUAAAGCUCUUUCAGUGGGGACGAUAAUGACGGUACCCACAGAAGAAGCCCCGGCUAACUUCGUGCCAGCAGCCGCGGUAAUAC